UUUCUCUUCUUUCUUCUUCCCUAUUCUUCUUCUCCUCCUCUCUGUCGAUUUCUUCUUCAGUGGUUUGAGCUCGAGUCUCUCGAGUUUGGUUCGUAUAAAGCUUGUGGUUGUUGAAGUGAAGGUGAAGGUGAUGAUGCUGCUGCCGAUUGGGUUUUGGAAGAAGCAUAGAGUUGGGAUUUGAGAAAUAAUCGAGUUACGGUUUCAAUUGUAGUUCAAAUAAGAAUUAGAAGAUGAAGAUGACGGUUUAGGGGAUUGAAUUAAGAUGGGUUUGUUUUGAAUUGACGUUUGAUUGAAACUAUAGGGUUGUUUGAGGAUUGGAUAUGAUAUUAGGGUUUCUGAAUUUGAUUCAGAGGUGAGUUCGAAGAUGAAAUUAAGAAUGAAAUUAAGUGAGUAAUAGGGGGUUCCAUGUGUUGGAAGCAAAAAAGAUGAAUGAGUUUGAUUCUCAAACUUCAGAGAAGAUUCAAAGAAUUAGGGUUUCAUGUUCUUCCCCAGAGUAGAUUUGACGUUUUAGAAGAAUUGGUUUGGUGAAUUAACAAUUCAGGGGAGGAAAAUGGUUGGGUAAGUCUCUCUGUUGCUUAAUUUUGCUGUUUGAAGUUGAAUUGUUAAUGAUUGUUGAGUUUGUAUGUUUGUGAAUGAAACUGAGGGUGAGGUGGUAAAACUAUGAAACUGUGACUGCAGUUAGAAGUGUUAUUGAUAGUGAUGGGAUUGAUGAAUUGAGUUUAAGAAAGGUGUUGAUACUGUUGUUAUUAUGGUUUGUUUGAAUGAGUGAUUUCAAGAGUUGGGUUUGAGUAAUUGUGGAUAGCCAAUUGGGUAUGAUCUCAACUGAAGUUGCAGGUGUUAUGAGUUAGUACAUUAGAAGUGUAUCAGAUGCAGUUUAUUUUAGUGAUUGAACUGAGUUGGAUUAGUUUUGAUGAUGAUAUUCUAGUUCAUGAAGUUGGCAGUGUGAUGAAUGGUUUCGUAGUUGGUGGUGUUGCUGCAGAGAUGGUGGUGGUAGUGUACUGAGUUGGUAGUAGAAUGUUUACAGCUCAUGAGACUAGUGAUGAUGUCACUGAAUGGAUGUGGCUUGAGGUGAAGAGUUGAAGUCCUGACUAUGGAAUGAUUGUAUGUGCAGGGGAAGUUAAAUGGGGAGGAUAAUGGAGUGAUGAUAUUACAGCUGGAUCUAAAUCAAGAGUUGUUGUCUAGAUGGAAAAUGGUAAUGGUUCUGUUAAGUUGCAGAUGCAGAUAAUUGAGAAUGGGUGGAGUUAUAGAUGAAUGUCAGGUUCUGGGAGUUGUAAAUGAAAUCAAAUUGGUAGUGCUAUUGGAAUGAGAAGUGUGAUGGUUUGGUACUGCUAAUAAAGGGUAUAUGGUUGUGAGUUGAAUUGGUGAUUUGGAUGACUUGUAUUGAUGAAGCUAAGGUUGAGCUUAGUUUAUUAGUGAUUAUAGAAUUGUGGAUUGUUUUCCUGUGAAAGCUUGGAAGCUUGCAACUACUGCAAUUGCAGGUAGUCUAUAUUAACAACGAUUCAAAGGAUGAACAAGUGGAUCGUGGAUCUCGAGGUAGGCGUGACUUGUCAUCAAAAGUGGUGGGAAUACUUUAACUCUUUUGUAACCAUUGUUGUUGUUUCUUUUAUAAAAGUCUUUGUUUAACAAAUUCAUGCAUUGCCUGAUUGUGUAUUCCUUGCAUUUGGUUUAGUUUUAAAUUCCGAAAGUUCUGUUAUCUUUUUUAAUCUUUCCAAGGCGUGGAAAGGAAAUGUAAUGCUUUGUUUGUCUUUAUGAUUGUCUUUCGGAAAUGAGAAUUUCUAACUAUGGUAUAUCGGAUACGCUCCUUCGUUAUUUUACUUUUGUGCUUUACUCUGUGUGGAAUUGGCAUCAAUAUUACAGGUGUGUACAUUCACCCACAGACUAUCUAGGUGGUACGACCAUCAAUAUUAUGGAGUGUAAAUGUCGCCACAAAAAGUUAUCAGUUUCAGAGACAGAUCAGAGCUGCGCAGCGGAAGCUUCGAGGAGUUGAGUCCGUUAGUUAACUUUUGUCUUUGUUUAUUAUGUUGUAUAUCCUAUUGUAAACCAUAUGAGUAUUGUAUAUGUAUCAUUUGAGAUAAGUUCUUGUAUAUAUAUU